GGUCUACAAACGCUCAAACAAAUGCUAUCAAAUAGAAAUUAAUGGAGUACAUUAUGUACAAUAUUUAAUGAUGAUUUACAGGUCUAACAUUCGGAAUUAAUUCUUGGCACUCGAAUUGCUCGAAAAUCACGUCAUCAAGCUCGCCAUCUGCUAGCUCGUAUCUCAGAUUUACAUUGCCGAACGUAUCUAAAUCCGGAAAAACAAUUUGACACGCAGUUUGAAAAGACUACAAUAUGGUAUAUAUUGUAUUUAAAGCAAUGAAGAUCCAGCUUCGACCGUAAUAUUAAAUUUCUAGCAUUUUAAAUUUCUAGUAUUGAUUGUGAUCGAUUUUAAUUAUUGCCAUUCUUUCUCUCCUAGUACUCGCCGGAGCAAUUACCAUAUUACUAACAGAUCGAAAUUUAAAUAUCAUUCUUUGAUUCAUCUGGAGAUGAAGAUCUAUUCUAUUUUAUAUCAACACUUAUUUUGAUUUUUCGGACACUGAAGUUUAUAUAUCGGAGUAUAUAAGAUUAGCGAAACUAUCCUUCUUCUUCUUCUUCUUCUUGUCGAUGGAUUUCUAAUUUCUUAUAGAAAUCACAGCACCUCACUUCCAAAUAAAGAUUACUGGGCUGAAAGGGGCUAGUCAAAUCAAUGUAUCAUUUUAAUAAAACUACCAUUCACAAUGCGUUUGUGAAUGCCACGAUGAGAUAUGAGAGUGGGAGCGAGAGAAGGAGAAGAUGUGAAAGACGAUAACCGAAAUUUGUCAUUUGAACUGCAGUGACAACUGUACCUCCUGUCUCUGUAGAGAAUAUGAUAGUACUUGCUUCCGAAUUAUCUGCGGAAGAAGAAAGAAUGUUAGUUCCUUAGCAUACAGAAUCGGACGUUGAAUUGGAAUCAUUACAUUUCCCUGUUGAACAUAAGUAAGA